AACGCCAAGAACCUUACCUGGUCUUGACAUCCGCGGAAGUUUUCAGAGAUAAGAAUGUGCCUUCGGGAACCGUGAGACAGGUGCUGCAUGGCUGUCGUCAGCUCGUGUUGUGAAAUGUUGGGUUAAGUCCCGCAACGAGCGCAACCCUUAUCCUUUGUUGCCAGCGGUCCGGCCGGGAACUCAAAGGAGACUGCCAGUGAUAAACUGGAGGAAGGUGGGGAUGACGUCAAGUCAUCAAGGCCCUUACGACCAGGGCUACACACGUGCUACAAUGGCGCAUACAAAGAGAAGCGACCUCGCGAGAGCAAGCGGACCUCAUAAAGUGCGUCGUAGUCCGGAUUUGGAGUCUGCAACUCGACUCCAUGAAGUCGGAAUCGCUAGUAAUCGUGGAUCAGAAUGCCACGGUGAAUACGUUCCCGGGCCUUGUACACACCG
rnacentral:rRNA from 1 species